CCAAAGGCUCUUUUCAGAGCCACCUAAGUGAUUUUAGGAGGGUGUA
rfam:TPA: Bos taurus chromosome 23, whole genome shotgun sequence.